GGAACCCAAAACUCUGCCUUUGGGUAGACCUCCCACCCUGUGUCGUUAUACCUUUGUUGCUUUGGCGGGCCGCGGGGCCCCGGCCCCGCCCCCGGCUCCGGCUGGGGCGCGCCCGCCAGAGGACCACCAAACCUGCGUGUCAGUGUCGUCUGAGCACUAUAUACAAUAGUUAAAACUUUCAACAACGGAUCUCUUGGUUCUGGCAUCGAUGAAGAACGCAGCGAAAUGCGAUAAGUAAUGUGAAUUGCAGAAUUCAGUGAAUCAUCGAAUCUUUGAACGCACAUUGCGCCCCUUGGUAUUCCGGGGGGCAUGCCUGUUCGAGCGUCAUUACAACCCUCAAGCUCUGCUUGGUAUUGGGCGCCACCGGUCCGGUGCGCCCCAAAAUCAGUGGCGGCGCCACCUGGCUCUAAGCGUAGUACACACUCUCGCUACAGACGCCCGGUGGAUGCUGGCCAGCAACCCCCCAAUUUAUCAAGGUUGACCUCGGAUCAGGUAGGGAUACCCGCUGAACUUAAGCAUAUCAAUAAGCGAAGGAA
rnacentral:rRNA from 1 species